rnacentral:snoRNA from 1 species
AUGAUUAUACAUUAAAAGAUAAAGCCUAUACCACUGUUGAUCAAUCUCCUAUAGAUCCAAUAGGGUCUAAAACUGAUGGGGCGGCGUUCACGGCCGGUUCGACCGGGCCUGACGGCCGGUCAGACCGCGACGCAACCGUCGGUCUGACCGGCCUGAUGGCCGGUCAGACCGGGUACUAUCCCGUUGGUCCGAUCGGCCAGAUGGCCGGUC